CCUGUAGAGGCAAGUAGAAGCAGAAAAAUAAAAUCCUGCUACUGAGCUGAAAGUUUUCUGCGUCAUUGUUUCUACUACAGCAUCCCGUUCCUGGCCGAUACACCUCAACACAUGGAUGCCAGCAGGGGAGGACAUCCACACCACUGACCCGUGAACCUGUCAAACCAGCCCGGCAACCCUACCUCAAUGGCAAACAAGGGCGGGAUGUGCGUUUUUCUCUCGGUCCAGCAGCAGUUCAGACAUUUGGCAAGAGUGACAAGGCACAACAACACCUUUGCUCCAGCGGUUAGCCUGAUACAAACGACCAGAGGAAGAGCCGCACUGGAGCAACUGAGGAAGCCACUGAGCUCCAUCCAGAGUCUCUGAGAGCAACUUAUCUGUCAGCACCAUUAUGAGCCUCUCAUAUCUUGGCCUGCACCUGUCUUUGGCAGUCCAGGAGUUUGGUGAGCCCCCCUCUCCAGACUCCCCACCACCCUCCGUCCUCAAGAGCUGAGGAGAGGCCUCGGGAUCCCCAUUCAUGGAGGAUGAUCGACAGGGCAGCAGUCAGAAGAAAAGGCAGCUGUGAUGAGAGACAGAAAGAAAGGAGGGUGUACCGGUGUCCCCUUUGUGCUUUUAACUACCUCCCCUCUUGUCUUCCAUAGCCAUGUCCACACAAUAGAGUCUUAACAGGAGCUGUCAGCGGACCACACUAGUGUGACCACUGUGGGCACCGGGGUUAGCCGGCAUCACAUUAGCUCUGUGUUUGUACGGCACUGAAAGCCAGCUAGCUACAGUUUAAAGCAAGUUUUGUGGUGUUUUCUAUAGGAGCUUUCAGCUCUGUGUUUACCCACACAGAACUCCAAAGAGGCAGAGCGCGUCACAUCAUUGAAGAAACGGGGAGGCUCUAAAAUGCUUGACAAAAAAAAAAAGAAGUAAGGUGUCCAGCGGGGGCCUCUACUUUGCACCUGAGGUUUGAUCAAUAUAGUCAAGUGAUGACAUGUCAAUUUGCACUGACAGAAAAGAGAUGGCGAAGCCAUGAAUGGAGGCGCUGAAAGAUGGCAGCAGGUGAAUUGUUCUGACAGCGGAUAGAGUGUAUCAACGUUCUGCUUUUAAGUGUGUGUUUGCCUCCCCGCCGCCACUCAGUCAGUAUUUCCUUACAUUAGGAGCACUGUUUAACCAGUGCUUGUGAAACCGAUACUCUUUGCCGUCCCCAUUGUGCUUUUUGCUGUUGGGAUAAUGCAAUGUUUAUGAGUUAUUGCACUGUACACACAGCCACGAGCCAGCUGCAGCCAUUAUUUGAUGUUUGAUACAUGUAAUAUGGCCACAAAGAGCUUUAAGCAGCUGAUACAAAAGAGGUGGUGUGGCAUGAUCAGAUAAGGUUGAAUGAGCUCAUGAUUUUAAUUGUUACCAAACAAUGAUUGGACAGGUGUCUGAACAGAAAAGGAUUAGGAACAGAAGAAAAUGUUCUCAGUGAGAGACCACCUCUGUGGAGCAGUGUGCUUGGGAUUUAGCUCAUUAUUUCUUUAAUGCUCUACAAAUAAACUUGCCUUGCCUUUAAA